CUAUCGUGAAGGACAUCAUCUCUUAUACACAAUCGAAAUCGAACCUCACUUCCUUCAUCAUCAUCAUCUCCUAGAUCUCGCCGCUCUCCUCAGCCGUACGAUCGCCGGAACUUCCUUCAAAUCGCACGGUCCCUGAACUUCCAGUAUCUCCAUCACAGAAGGAGCUUGUGGAAAGAAUCUGGGGCUGUUCCGUGAUGGCUCUUAUAAGCGAAAUAAGCUGCUGCAACUUUGUAAAUUACUUAUCAGAGUGGAUUUACCAUUGCUAGAAAUACACUGGUAAAUGUGUGUGAGGACUGUGAAUUUCUUAAUUUAUUACUUGGACGGGAGAGGUAGUGGAAGGAAGAAAAUCAGACAUGUCUUUUCAGAACUUUUGGAUGGCAAAGGGUCCGGGAUGUUUAACUGAUGGUGAGAUGGCCUAUGAUAAUUCCUCCAGAAUUGAGCCAAAGCGUUCUCAUCAGUGGUUUAUGGAUGGUACUGAGGCUGAGCUGUUCCCCAACAAGAAACAAGCAGUUGAAGUUCCAAGCCACAAUUCAUUUCCUGGACUUCUAAAUGCAAGCAUUUCUCCUUGGGGAAAUGCUUCCAAUUAUCACUCUGCUACAGGCCAAUUUACUGAGCGCUUGUUUGACCCUGAAACUGCAAGGACCGUCAAUUUUGAUGACAGAAACAUGCCGUCGGCUGGCACAGGGAAUAUCAAUAUGGGAAUGAAGGUUAUUCAGGAUCAAUUUGGGAGAGAUUCGUCAUUUGGUUUGUCUAUAUCUCAUACACUGGAGGAUCCUAGCUCAGGUCUUAACUAUGGUGGGAUCAGAAAAGUUAAAGUGAACCAGGUGAAGGACUCUGAGAAUUUCAUGUCAGUAUCUAUGGGACAUGCCUAUAACAGGGGGGAUAACAAUACCAUGUCAGCCUCUCAUGCUUAUGGCAAGGCAGAUGACAAUACCAUAUCAAUGGGCCUCUCAUUUAAUAGAGGUAAUGACAUUGUACCGAUGGGCAACACAUAUAAUAGGGUGGACAAUAAUUUUAUAUCCAUGGGUCAACCAUAUAACAAAGGGGAUGGCAACACCAUGUCAAUUGGUCACCCCUAUAAGGGGAACAAUAAUGCCAUGUCAAUGGAUCAGUCUUUCAACAAGGGUGUGGAUAAUAUGACAACAAUGGGUCAAACCUUCAACAAGGAGGAUGUCAUCAAUUUUGAUGACAGGAACAUUCAAUCAGUUGGCACAGGUAAUAUCAAUAUGGGAAGAAAGGUCAUUCAAGAUCCAUUUGGGAGUGAUUCCUCAUUUGGUUUGUCUAUAUCUCAUACACUGGAGGAUCCUAGAUCAGGACUGAACUUUGGUGGGAUCAGGAAAGUUAAAGUCAGCCAGGUGAAGGACUCGGAGAAUUUCGUGUCAGCAUCUAUGGGACAUGCCUAUAACAAGGGGAAUAACAAUACCAUGUCAACACCUCAUGCUUAUGCGAAGGCAGAUGACAAUAACAUAUCAAUGGGCCUUUCAUUUAAUAGAGGCAAUGACAAUAUCAUAUCGACGAGCGACGCAUAUAAUAGAGUGGAAAACAAUUUUAUGCCCAUGGGUCCACCGUAUAACAAAGGGGAUGACAGUACCAUAUCGAUUGGUCACUCCUAUAAGGGGACUAAUAAUGCCAUAUCCUUGGAUCAGUCUUUCAGCAAGGGUGUGGACAAUGUCACAACAAUGGGUCAAACUUUCAACAAGGAGGAUGGAAUCAAUUUUGAUGACAGGAGCAUUCCAUCAGUUGGCACAGGCAAUAUCAAUAUGGGAAGAAAGGUCAUUCAGGAUCCAUUUGGGAGCCAUUCCUCAUUUGGUUUGUCUAUAUCUCAUACACUGGAGAAUCCUAGAUCAGGUGUCAACUAUGGUGGGAUCAGAAAAGUUAAAGUCAGCCAGGUGAAGGACACUGAGAAUUUUAUGUCAGCAUCUAUGGGACAUGCCUAUAACAGAGGGGAUAACAAUACCAUGUCAACACCUCAUGCUUAUGGCAAGGCAAAUGACAAUACCAUAUCAAUGGGCCUCUCAUUUAACAGAAGCAAUGAUGACAUAAUAUCAAUGGGUGACACAUAUAAUAGGGUGGACAACAAUUUUAUAUCCAUGGCUCAACCAUAUAACAAAGGGGAUGACAGCACCAUAUCGAUGGAUCAGUCUUUCAGCAAGGGUGAGGACAAUAUCACAACAAUGGGUCAAACCUUCAACAAGGAGGAUGGUAAUAACUUAUCAAUGCGCAAUACCUUCAAGGACAUCAAUAAUAGCGUAUCAAUGGGUCAAUCCUUCAGCAAGGGUGAUGACUCUAUCCCAUCCAUGGCUCAAACCUUCAACAAAGAUGAUGGUAAAACUAUUCUGAUAGGCUUUCAGGACAAUGAUGAUAUAAAUUCUUCUGGAAGGCUUAUAAGCGGUUAUGACUUGUUGAUGGGUCAGUCUUCAGCUCAAAGACCAGAAGCACCAAGUGAGAAAGAUUUGGGAGAAUCAAAUGUUGAUGCCCUUGAAAGUGCCACUAAGGUAACUUCCUCUGCAAGUGAAACUGUUUCUAAGAAGGAGGAUCAAAAAGGGUCCAAAAAGGUUCCUUCGAACAAUUUCCCUUCAAAUGUAAAAAGUUUGCUUGCAACUGGUAUGCUGGAUGGAUUACCUGUGAAGUAUGUUGCCUUGUCGCAGGAGAAGGAGCUUCACGGUAUCAUAAAAGAUUCUGGUUUUCUAUGUGGCUGUCAGUCAUGUAAUUUUUCCAAGGCAAUUAAUGCGUAUGAGUUUGAGCGUCAUGCUGGGUGUAAAACAAAACACCCAAAUAAUCACAUAUACUUCGAGAAUGGGAAGACUGUUUAUGGCAUAGUUCAAGAGCUCAAGAACACGCCUCAGAAUUUGUUGUUUGAAGUUAUCCAGACAAUUACUGGAUCGCCCCUUAACCAGAAAUAUUUCCGUCUUUGGAAAGAAUCAUUCGCAGCUGCUACUUGUGAACUUCAGCGUAUAUAUGGAAAGGACGAAGGGAAACAAUUGUCAUAAAGUUGCCUAGCUCAAGUAUAAAGGGAUUGGAUGUCCAAGGUAAAUUGGUUUCGUCUGCAUAUGUGGCUGCAGAGGUCUUGUAGUCUUGAGCAAAAGCCAUUUCUGUGCGAGCUCACAGCUCUCAGUAAGCUCCAUUGGGAAGAUAUGUAAUAUUUUUUUUUGAUGAUGAAUGGCUGUAAAUUAGAAGAUGGUGAUAAGAAGGUUUUGCAUCAUGUUCACAUCAAUGCCAUUACCAAUGUUGAGGUCACCGUUAUAGAACUUAUGGAUUUGGAGUGUGGAUUCAACAUUGAGAAACUUUGGUUGUUUCUCAAUUGGCGGAGGGUAUUUCAGACGAGGCUUGUAACCCAAGCAUCUGAUCCAAAUCGUGUUCACUUCAGGUAAUAUGAUUACUCGCAUAUUUUUCUUUCAUUGGUAUCAGAGCUAUAUUGCUUGUUUUCGCCUCAUGAUUUGCAUGCCAUAAAUUGCAUUUAUUCAUGUUUAAUUGAAUAUUGCAUGUUUAAAUAUUGUUAUAUAUCAUGGCAUGUUAAAAAAGUUUAGUUCUUAUAAAACUCCAUUAGAGUGGAUUUUUUAUCUCAAAAAUCAGCAUAAAAAAUUUCUUUUCAAAAAUUGAAAUUUAUAUAUUUUUGAAAGUAUUCUUUUUAUCCAUAUAAAAUGGAUUCUAAUUGGAGUUAAAUUGAAAAAGUUAUGACUUUUGAAAUUUUUUUGGGUCAAAAUCGCUAUUUUUGGGAAUUUUGGGGAGGAACACAGAUUUUGGAAGUCGAAGUGAUGUCAGCAUGACGCAAUCGGCGUGAUUGACGGCAGCACGAUGCGGUGCGAUGAUGACGUCAACGCAUUACGCGAGGCUAACGUCAUCAGUGUGAAAGGCGCGCGCGUAUGUGACAGUGUGUACGUGGCGCGCGUGGACGCGCCUCCACAAGCGCAGACCAACAGUCGUGACGCAUAUCCCAAGGUGCAUGGCUGACGUGGACACGUUUGUUCUUUGGAAGUUUGUAUUCCGUGUUUGGUUUGAGUUUUCUGAAUUAAGCUUUUUAAAAA